GCCCGCCUAGCUCAAUCGGAUAGAGCGUCAGACUCUUAGGCGGGGUGAACCUGUUCAGUUAGGCGAUCUGAAGGCUGCGAGUUCGACCCUCGCGGUGGGCU
rnacentral:tRNA from 1 species